rnacentral:rRNA from 1 species
CCUACGGGGGGGUGCAGUGGGGAAUAUUGGACAAUGGGGGCAACCCUGAUCCAGCCAUGCCGCGUGUGUGAAGAAGGCCCUCGGGUUGUAAAGCACUUUCAGUGAGGAAGAACGCCUGGUGGUUAAUACCCAUCAGGAAAGACAUCACUCACAGAAGAAGCACCGGCUAACUCCGUGCCAGCAGCCGCGGUAAUACGGAGGGUGCGAGCGUUAAUCGGAAUUACUGGGCGUAAAGCGCGCGUAGGUGGCUUGAUAAGCCGGUUGUGAAAGCCCCGGGCUCAACCUGGGAACGGCAUCCGGAACUGUCAAGCUAGAGUGCAGGAGAGGAAGGUAGAAUUCCCGGUGUAGCGGUGAAAUGCGUAGAGAUCGGGAGGAAUACCAGUGGCGAAGGCGGCCUUCUGGACUGACACUGACACUGAGGUGCGAAAGCGUGGGUAGCAAACAGGAUUAGAUACCCCGGUAGUC